rnacentral:rRNA from 1 species
AGUUGCGAACGGGUGAGUAACGCGUAGGUAACCUGCCUACUAGCGGGGGAUAACUAUUGGAAACGAUAGCUAAUACCGCAUAACAGUGUUUAACACAUGUUAGAUGCUUGAAAGAUGCAAUUGCAUCACUUCUGGAUGGACCUGCGGUGCAUUAGCUUGUUGGUGGGGUAACGGCCUACCAAGGCGAUGAUGCAUAGCCGAGUUGAGAGACUGAUCGGCCACAAUGGGACUGAGACACGGCCCAUACUCCUACGGGAGGCAGCAGUAGGGAAUCUUCCACAAUGGGCGCAAGCCUGAUGGAGCAACACCGCGUGAGUGAAGAAGGGUUUCGGCUCGUAAAGCUCUGUUGUUAAAGAAGAACACGUAUGAGAGUAACUGUUCAUACGUUGACGGUAUUUAACCAGAAAGUCACGGCUAACUACGUGCCAGCAGCCGCGGUAAUACGUAGGUGGCAAGCGUUAUCCGGAUUUAUUGGGCGUAAAGAGAGUGCAGGCGGUUUUCUAAGUCUGAUGUGAAAGCCUUCGGCUUAACCGGAGAAGUGCAUCGGAAACUGGAUAACUUGAGUGCAGAAGAGGGUAGUGGAACUCCAUGUGUAGCGGUGGAAUGCGUAGAUAUAUGGAAGAACACCAGUGGCG